rnacentral:rRNA from 1 species
UACGUAGGGUGCAAGCGUUGUCCGGAAUUAUUGGGCGUAAAGAGCUUGUAGGCGGUUUGUCGCGUCUGCCGUGAAAAUCCGGGGCUCAACCCCGGACUUGCGGUGGGUACGGGCAGACUAGAGUGUGGUAGGGGAGACUGGAAUUCCUGGUGUAGCGGUGAAAUGCGCAGAUAUCAGGAGGAACACCGAUGGCGAAGGCAGGUCUCUGGGCCGACUACUGACGCUGAGAAGCGAAAGCGUGGGGAGCGAACAGG